UAUAACGUCACAGAGAACAUUAGCAUGGACCUGUGGAAGGAUGACAUGGAAAUUCACAAAGCAUUCCAUAUUUAA
rnacentral:snRNA from 1 species